UACGUAGGGUGCAAGCGUUAUCCGGAAUUAUUGGGCGUAAAGAGCUCGUAGGCGGUUUGUCGCGUCUGCUGUGAAAACCGGAGGCUCAACCUCCGGCCUGCAGUGGGUACGGGCAAACUAGAGUGCGGUAGGGGAGAUUGGAAUUCCUGGUGUAGCGGUGGAAUGCGCAGAUAUCAGGAGGAACACCGAUGGCGAAGGCAGAUCUCUGGGCCAUUACUGACGCUGAGGAGCGAAAGCGUGGGGAGCGAACAGG
rnacentral:rRNA from 1 species